GUGUGUGUGAGUGAGUGUCAGGUGUGCAGUGUGUGUGUGUGAGUGUCAGGGGUGCAGUGUGUGUGUGUGUGUGUGUGAGGGUGCUGUGAGUGUCAGGGAUGCAGUGUGUGUGUGAGGGUGCUGUGAGUGUCAGGGGUGCAGUGUGUGUGUGAGUGUCAGGAGUGCAGUGUGUGUGUGUGUGUGUCAGGGUGCAGUGUGUGU